rnacentral:tRNA from 1 species
CAGAAUAUAGCUUAAAUAAAGCAUUUUGCUUACACCAAAAAAAUAUUCAUAUAGAAUUAUUCUGA